AUCACUUCUUGGCCUUUUGACUAAGAUCAAGCAUAGUACCUGUUCUUAUCAAUUUAAUAUCUGAACAUCCUAUACCAAAGGACAACAUAUUACAUGGAUUUCAGAAACAGGGAGGUAGAUGGAAUAGGAGCUUUCUACAUCCAAUCUGUGCACCAACCCAGUAUUGCAGUACUUCCGGGACGGUGCACCCCUU